rnacentral:rRNA from 1 species
CCAAUAGCGUAUAUUAAAGUUGUUGCAGUUAAAAAGCUCGUAGUUGAAUUUUAGGCCUGGCCGGGCGGUCCGUCUUUGGCGAGUACUGUUCUGUGUCGGGUCUUACCUUCUGGUGAACCGGUAUGUUCUUAAUUGAGUGUACCGGGGAGCCAGGACCAUUACCUUGAAAAAAUUAGAGUGUUUAAAGCGGGCCUUUGCUUGAAUAGAUUAGCAUGGAAUAAUAGAAUAGGACGUUGGUUCUAUUUUGUUGGUCUAGGACCACCGUAAUGAUUAAUAGGGAUAGUUGGGGGCAUUAGUAUUCAAUUGUCAGAGGUGAAAUUCUUGGAUUUAUUGAAGACUAACUACUGCGAAAGCAUUUGCCAAGGAUGUUUUCAUUAAUCAAGAACGAAAGUUAGGGGAUCGAAGACGAUCAGAUACCGUCGUAGUCUUAACCAUAAACUAUGCCGACUAGGAAUCGGGCGACGUUAUUUUCAUGACUCGCUCGGCGCCUUAUG